GUAACAAGGUCUCCGUUGGUGAACCAGCGGAGGGAUCAUUACCG
rnacentral:rRNA from 1 species